rnacentral:rRNA from 1 species
GACGAACGCUGGCGGCGCGCCUAACACAUGCAAGUCGAACGAGCGAGAGAGAGCUUGCUUUCUCAAGCGAGCGGCGGACGGGUGAGUAACACGUGGGUAACCUGCCCAAGAGACUGGGAUAACACCUGGAAACAGAUGCUAAUACCGGAUAACAACACUAGACGCAUGUCUAGAGUUUGAAAGAUGGUUCUGCUAUCACUCUUGGAUGGACCUGCGGUGCAUUAGCUAGUUGGUAAGGUAACGGCUUACCAAGGCAAUGAUGCAUAGCCGAGUUGAGAGACUGAUCGGCCACAUUGGGACUGAGACACGGCCCAA